CAGUUGAUGGCAGGUUUUGAGUUGUCUAAGCUGUUUGGGCAGAUGUGUGUUGGCAUUUAGAGAAGUAGAGGUGUCUGGGUUUUUUUGCUGUAUAGUGUGUUGGUUGCUGUGAUGGUGAGGUUAUCUGGCAGGGGUUAGGUUUCCCCACAGCUGACGGGAGGUACGACAAGGUCACAGGAGAUGCGGCGUAAACCAUCUGGGCCUCUGCAUCUCGAUAUGCAGGGCUGAAUGUCAGGUGCAGCGGGACGAGCUGUGUGCCAAAGGGCAACAGAGGAGACAUGAGCGGAGCGCUGUAAGAAGGUGCAAAGCGGGAUAUUGGCACCAGAGCUGAUUCGGGCAAGGUGGUACCCGAGCCUCAACUUGGCAGCCUGUAAACAGCAGAGGCAGGGUGGGCGAGCAGC